UUCUUGUCUAUUACACCAUAGCACGUAUGUCGUCAUUUUCAGGCCAGUGUAAACGCCUGUGAACGGCUUAGGGAGCAUUCAUUUUUUAGCUGGGGGGGCGGAGGAAUUUGGGGGUGGGUCAGCAAAUUUUGACAUGCUUCAAAGGGGUGGGUCUUUUUAUAGUUUUGGUAUAAAUGGAGGGGGUCAUAAAAAUAAUCAGUGAAAAAGUCACCAAUAUAAUUUUAUAGAAUUUGGAAAUAUUUGGAUGAAGAAUGGUAAAAGGAUCUAGAAACUAUCAACUAUCUCGUCAUCUUUAACAAAGAAGCAAAAUUCAUUUGACGCUCUGUUCACACAGUCCAUAGGAAAACAUUUCCAUGACGUUUGUCAAUUGACCUCGUUUUUAUCCGUUUUUGUGUGAAAUCAUGAAUGAAAGAAAACGCAGGACCGUAGCAUGAUUUCAAAAUCAUGCAUGGUUUCAAGGUCUGCAUGCAUUUCAUCAUGACCUUUAUCAAUUUUAAGCUUUAUUAAUUUUAAGCGGCUACAUUAUCCAUGACAAACUGCAAAGAAUGAAGAUAGUACCCACAGUUUCCUGCAACUUAUCCUAGUUAUCCAAUAUAUAGUUAAUUAAAUACGCGUUCGCCCAUUUAGUACUACCAAAUU
rnacentral:lncRNA from 1 species